rnacentral:rRNA from 1 species
UACGGAGGGAGCAAGCGUUGUCCGGAAUCAUUGGGCGUAAAGCGCGCGUAGGUGGCUUCGUAAGUCCGUUGUGAAAGUCAAAGGCUCAACCUUUGAAAGCCGAUGGAUACUGUGGAGCUAGAGUACGGAAGAGGCGAGUGGAAUUCCUGGUGUAGCGGUGGAAUGCGCAGAUAUCAGGAGGAACACCAAUAGCGAAGGCAGCUCGCUGGGACGUUACUGACACUGAGGCGCAAAAGCGUGGGGAGCGAACGAGG